rnacentral:rRNA from 1 species
AAAAGUCUCUAUCGAGGUUAAAGGUACCCGUACCGCAAACCGACACAGGUGGGUGAGGAGAGUAUCCUAAGGCCAGCGAGAGAACUGUUGUUAAGGAACUCGGCAAAAUGACCCCGUAACUUAGGGAUAAGGGGGGCCACCAUCAGGUGGCCGCAGAGAAUAGGCCCAAGCGACUGUUUACCAAAAACAUAGGUUUCUGCGAAGUCGCAAGACGAUGUAUAGGAGCUGACGCCUGCCCGGUGCUGGAAGGUUAAGGGGAUCUGUUAGAGCAAUCGAAGCAGUGAACUUAAGCCCCAGUAAACGGCGGCCGUAACUAUAACGGUCCUAAGGUAGCGAAAUUCCUUGUCGGGUAAGUUCCGACCCGCACGAAAGGCGUAACGAUUUGGGCACUGUCUCA